rnacentral:rRNA from 1 species
AACGAACGCUGGCGGCAUGCCUAACACAUGCAAGUCGAACGAGAUCUUCGGGUCUAGUGGCGCACGGGUGCGUAACGCGUGGGAAUCUGCCCUUUGGUUCGGAAUAACAGUUGGAAACGACUGCUAAUACCGGAUGAUGACGAAAGUCCAAAGAUUUAUCGCCAGAGGAUGAGCCCGCGUAGGAUUAGCUAGUUGGUGUGGUAAAGGCGAACCAAGGCGACGAUCCUUAGCUGGUCUGAGAGGAUGAUCAGCCACACUAGGACUGAGACACGGGCCAGACUCCGACGGGAGGCAGCAGUGGGGAAUAUUGGACAAUGGGCGAAAGCCUGAUCCAGCAAUGCCGCGUGAGUGAUGAAGGCCUUAGGGUUGUAAAGCUAUUUUACCCGGGAUGAUAAUGACAGUACCGGGAGAAUAAGCUCCGGCUAACUCCGUGCCAGCAGCCGCAGUAA